CAGGAUGAACGCUAGCUACAGGCUUAACACAUGCAAGUCGAGGGGAAACGACAUCGAAAGCUUGCUUUCGAUGGGCGUCGACCGGCGCACGGGUGAGUAACGCGUAUCCAACCUGCCCAUCACUUGGGGAUAACCUUGCGAAAGUAAGACUAAUACCCAAUGACGUCUCUAGAAGACAUCUGAAGGAGAUUAAAGAUUUAUCGGUGAUGGAUGGGGAUGCGUCUGAUUAGCUUGUUGGCGGGGUAACGGCCCACCAAGGCGACGAUCAGUAGGGGUUCUGAGAGGAAGGUCCCCCACAUUGGAACUGAGACACGGUCCAAACUCCUACGGGAGGCAGCAGUGAGGAAUAUUGGUCAAUGGGCGAGAGCCUGAACCAGCCAAGUAGCGUGCAGGAUGACGGCCCUAUGGGUUGUAAACUGCUUUUAUAAGGGAAUAAAGUGAGCCUCGUGAGGCUUUUUGCAUGUACCUUAUGAAUAAGGACCGGCUAAUUCCGUGCCAGCAGCCGCGGUAAUACGGAAGGUCCGGGCGUUAUCCGGAUUUAUUGGGUUUAAAGGGAGCGUAGGCCGGAGAUUAAGCGUGUUGUGAAAUGUAGACGCUCAACGUCUGCACUGCAGCGCGAACUGGUUUCCUUGAGUACGCACAAAGUGGGCGGAAUUCGUGGUGUAGCGGUGAAAUGCUUAGAUAUCACGAAGAACUCCGAUUGCGAAGGCAGCUCACUGGAGCGCAACUGACGCUGAAGCUCGAAAGUGCGGGUAUCGAACAGGAUUAGAUACCCUGGUAGUCCGCACGGUAAACGAUGGAUGCCCGCUGUUGGUCUGAAUAGGUCAGCGGCCAAGCGAAAGCAUUAAGCAUCCCACCUGGGGAGUACGCCGGCAACGGUGAAACUCAAAGGAAUUGACG
rnacentral:rRNA from 1 species